UUGACAGCCCUGGAGACUGAUACUUUCUAGUUAUCCACAGAAGGGGUACAGCAUAGAUUGUAGCAGUGCAAAUUUAUUGACACUUCCCUCACUAAUAUGCUUCAACCUAGCUACGGAGGGACAACCUCUGAAGGAUGUUCCCAUUCAGUUCUUGGCCCCUCUGCUGGGAUUGCU
rnacentral:sRNA from 1 species